rnacentral:lncRNA from 1 species
UGGGGUGUUUUGGAUGUGGUGAAGUAUGCAUGGAGGUUGUAAGUGAUCGAUAAGGGAUCAAUUACUCCUAAUAAGAGAAGCGAACAUCCUAUGUGAUCUCAUAGGUCGAUGAUUCUAGAAGUCUUUGGCCAAAACAGGAUGAUAAUUAGAAAAAAAAUUUUAAUAUAUCAUCAACUAAAUCAUCACCUUCUGAUUGAGAUACAUAUAGAUAAGCAAUUAGGUU